AAAUGUGUAAUGCUUCUAGGUCACAUUGUACUACUCUCCUCCAAGUUACAAAAAAAUAAUAAAAUAAUAAAAAAACAGUAACAUGCGACUAUAAUGCCAACAAUUAGAAAUUGAUCAGCAUGUUUUCAGUUAAAAUUAAGGAAGCAUUUAGUACAAGGUUAAAAAAUUGAAAAUUAAGUAUUAUUCUUGUAAAUUUUAAAGGAGUAAU
rnacentral:misc_RNA from 1 species